GCAUUGCACUUUCUUCUUCUUACACUUCUCUCUCUCUCUCUCUCUCUCUCUCUCUCUCUCUCUCUCUGUAGAGAGAGAGGGAAAAAAAAAAGCUUCCAAAGAUGAAAGCAAGACACUGUAAGUCUCUACAAGGUCACCUAGAAGCCAUUGUCGUGCAUGGGACCAGCAACAACAUCAACAUGCUGAACCCUUCAAAAAUUGGAAUUCAUGGCCAAAGAGAAAUCUUCCAUGAAGCAGAAAUCUACACCAGCAUUCAAUUUGGAAACAAGAGUUCCAUUGUGAUGGUGGCUUUUUUCUGAUACCUGGGUGCUAUCCUCCCUGAGCUUUUUAUCCUACCUCCUUCUUCAUCCAAUCUAUUUUUAUUUUCUUUAUUUUUCCAUCUUCUUGACCUUGUAAGACCUUUUCUUGACCUUGUAAGACCCAACUCUGUGUCUGUUAUCUUUAUUUUCCAGUUUUUUAAGGGUUCUAUAUCGAAAUCCACCGAUAUAGAAUCCAAUCUCCGUCCAUCCCUGUUUCCGUCCAACUCAUCUUCUCCUUCCUUGUCUAUCCCUCCUGAGCUGUUUGAAAUUAGCCUGUCAUAGUGUCAUGUAUCUCCCCUAAAAAGUUGUGUUACAAAAGUCUUGAGAGCCACUUAGCGUUCAUGCAAGCAAUGGAUACCUCAAUUGCAACAUGGGUUACUUUUUUAUUUUUUAUUUCUUGGGUUUUACAUGUAAACUUAGAAGGAUUGAAGAAGAUGCAAAUUAUAGUGGUCCUUGUGCUGUAGAGUUGUAAAAGAAGCUAGAAUUAUUAAUAAAAUAUUUCCAUUUUGUUUU